rnacentral:lncRNA from 1 species
GGUAUGUGAAUACCUUGGAACUACGACUUCAGCUCUGGAGUUUGCUGCUCGGCAUCAGCCCCUCUUCUCUGAUCAUUGGAAAGGCCUUGUUGGCUAGAGGACGCGCUGCAGUAGUAACGUGUCUCGGUUCACUGGAAAGGCCAUGGUUAUGGUCAUAAAAGUUUUGUGGUGUUAAGUGAGACCCAUUUGGCUGUUGUGUAUUACAGCAUGCUUACUCAAAAAUGGGCGUUUUUUUUUUCUUUUAAAAUAUAGUGGCUAUAGAUAGCAUCCUAAUAUUUUUGGUUGUUAUAGGAGAGAGAGGUUGAUAAUGAAGUAAGUCCAGUGUAAAAUACUUAAUGCAUGAAGUAGUGUGUAGUAUAAUGGAUAGAUUAUAGGACUGGGAAUCAGGAAAUCUCAGCUGUCCUUACAAAGGUUUAUUGCUAAACAAAACUUUUUUGUCAGUCUCAUUGCAGAAGUGGGUUUAAAAUGCUCUUAUUCUCCUUCAGAAAUGGAAUGAGGCUAAUCAAAAUAAUGUGAACAUUUAUUGAUAUGUAAGAUACGUAGUUGUUGGUUAAAUUCUUUUUCUUCGUUUGUGGAUAAUUUCCCCUCUGUUUACUACUUCAUUUAUUUUCCCUUUUCUGAGUCAGUUCUCUUUCACAUUACUUACCUUUUUUGUUUUUCAUCUAUUUGCCCCCAGUAUUUCAUUAUGAAAAACUUGAAGUAUACAGCAGAAGCUAGAGAGAGAGAGAGAGGCAUUCAUCUUCUCCCUUAUUUCCUUAAAUGCCUUUCUACUUCGUUGAGACCCUCUACUUCUUUGAGACUUCCUCUUUCAAGAAAUGACCGUUAAGAAGUAGAUGCCCAGAUGCAAAAGUGAUGAAACAGUCAAUUUGUCAUAAAGUAAGAUGCAGCUGUGGCUUUGCAACAAGAUUAGUAAGUGUGGCCUAUUUUUUUUUCAACUUUAUACUUAUUUUAUCUACUUUAAAAAAUAUUUAAUAAAAAGUAUAGUGGACAUUUUAUAAAGUGUCA